UACAGAGGUGUCAAACGUUGUUCGGAAUUACUGGGCGUAAAGCGCGUGUAGGUGGAUUGGUGUGUCAGAUGUGAAAUCCCUGGGCUCAACCCAGGAACUGCACCUGAAACUACCAGUCUUGAGUGGUGGAGAGGGAAGUGGAAUUCCUGGUGUAGAGGUGAAAUUCGUAGAUAUCAGGAGGAACACCAGUGGCGAAGGCGGCUUCCUGGACACCAACUGACGCUGAGACGCGAAAGCGUGGGGAGCAAACAGG
rnacentral:rRNA from 1 species